rfam:Brassica napus, WGS project CCCW01000000 data, contig: 29703
CGACCCCAGGUCAGGAGGGAUCACCUGACAAGGAUUCCCUUAGUAAUGGCGAGCGAACCGGGAAGAGCCCAGCUUGAAAAUCAGACGUCUUUGGCGUUCGAAUUGUAGUCUGGAGAAGCGUCCUCAGCGACGGACCGGGCCCAAGUUCCCUGGAAAGGGGCACCAGAGAGGGUGAGAGCCCCGUCGUGCCCAGACCCUGUCGCACCACGAGGCGCUGUCUACGAGUCGGGUUUUUUGGAAUGCAGCCCCAAUCGGGCGGUAAAUUCUGUCCAAAGCUAAAUAUGGGCGAGAGACCGAUAGAGAACAAGUACCGCGAGGUAAAGAUGAAAAGGACUUUGGAAAGAAAGUCAAAGAAUGGUUGAAAUUGUUCGGAGGGAAGCGGAUGGGGGCCGGCGAUUCAUCCCGGUCGGAUGCGGAACGAAGCAAUCUGGUCCGCCAAUCGAUUCGGGCCGUGGAGCAACGCAGAUUAAGGUGGUGACAUAAGCCUGGGCUUUUGUUACGCCCGCGGAGACGUCGCUGCCUUAAUCGUGGUCUGCAGCACGCGCCGCACGGCGUGCCUCGGCAUCUGCGUUCUCAGAUCUUGAAACACGGACCAAGUGUAACAUCCCAGAUCCUGAAUAGGAUCAUUGGGACGGCCAUGGUUCGAGGAAACGUACUAGUCAGUCUUAGGACAUCCAGACAAUUGUUCCAUGGCCAGAUAAGAAGGUUAAGGACGUAAGGAAACUUAGACUUAACCAUAUACCAGUCGAGAGUCAGCUAGGACGAGUAAGACGGUAGCUGGACGGAUGGAACCAGUAGCUCGACCAGCUCAACGGAGUUAGGUUAAGAUCACUCCAGGUCGGCCGCUACUAAGUCAGCUCCACUAGCUGAACUACUAGCUCACUCAGCUGAGGCAGCUGGGAGUCAGCUCAUCUCAGCUGGAAGGACGAUUGUAAACUAACAUGACCUUAAAUUUAAAGUACCAUGGCCUAAUCCUUGACCUACAACAUCCUUGGCUAUCUGAGUGAACACAUCCUUCACACCAAGCCAAACUAUUUGAGAAACCAACAAUCUAUGAUUUGUCAAAAAAACGUCGUGUGACUAUUAAGAGAAUAAUUAUCGUAUAGCCCACAGUCGAAAAUCAUAUGAUAAAUUCUUCGUAACGAAAUUCAGUCCUAACAACCAAACGGUUAACAGAAAAUCUAAACUUUUCGAAAAUUGACCAAGUUGAUUACGCUCCACAAUUCACUUUAAGCCCGCAAAA